rnacentral:rRNA from 1 species
AACGAACGCUGGCGGCAGGCCUAACACAUGCAAGUCGAGCGAGCAUUUCGGUGCUAGCGGCGGACGGGUGAGUAACGCGUGGCAACGUGCCCUUUUCUGCGGAAUAGUCCUGGGAAACUGGGGGUAAUACCGCAUACGCCCUUUUGGGGAAAGAUUUAUCGGAGAAGGAUCGGCCCGCGUUGGAUUAGGUAGUUGGUGGGGUAAUGGCCCACCAAGCCGACGAUCCAUAGCUGGUUUGAGAGGAUGAUCAGCCACACUGGGACUGAGACACGGCCCAGACUCCUACGGGAGGCAGCAGUGGGGAAUCUUAGACAAUGGGGGCAACCCUGAUCUAGCCAUGCCGCGUGAGUGAUGAAGGCCUUAGGGUUGUAAAGCUCUUUCAGCUGGGAAGAUAAUGACGGUACCAGCAGAAGAAGCCCCGGCUAACUCCGUG